UUUGCCCAUGUAUUUGGCAUCCUGAAAAUCAACACCUUUUCUGAUGUUUUCGUCUCUUUUAUCGACACUUUUGUUUUUGUUUUUUCAAUGUUUUUUGCUCUUUUUUUGACGAUUAACUCUUCUUUUCACUACCAUUGUACACGUGUUUAUAACAU